GAUCCUGGCUCAGAUUGAACGCUGGCGGCAGGCCUAACACAUGCAAGUCGAACGGUAACAGAAAGCAGCUUGCUGCUUUGCUGACGAGUGGCGGACGGGUGAGUAAUGUCUGGGAAACUGCCUGAUGGAGGGGGAUAACUACUGGAAACGGUAGCUAAUACUGCAUAACGUCGCAAGACCAAAGAGGGGGACCUUAGGGCCUCUUGCCAUCGGAUGUGCCCAGAUGGGAUUAGCUAGG
rnacentral:rRNA from 1 species